CUCCACUAUUCCACAUUUGGAUAAUCCAAGCAGCUACUUCUCAGUGAAAAUAUCCAAGUCUUUCGACAGCUCUUCGAGUAAACUUUGAUCUUUCGGUGAUUUGAAGUCAUGAAGUUUUCACAAGUAUUCGUGGUUCUUUCUGUCUUGUUUGCCAUUUCUUUUGGUAUUCCUGCCAACUGGAAAGAAAAUGAAGACCUUAUGGCCAGGUAAACUGAGUCGCAAAAAAUAGUUUUAUAUCAUGCCUUUGCCUUUGGUUUUGGCGUCGCUUUAUCUGUUACUUUUUAGCUUUAGUAAUCGAGGCUCAGGGCGAACCAGGAAUCAUUUCCGCAACAGAAAUCACACUUUGCCUUUUGAGAAAAAGAUAUGUUUGUAAAUAAGUUGGGACGAAGCAUUGUUUCUUUAUACCAUAUAGUUUUCGAAGGUGGACAAGUCAGGGAACAUUGUUUCUUAUAUAGCCGUCAUGUUGCUCAACUAAAGUCGGCAUGCAUUCAAGCCAUGCAGCACCAAGUCGAUACUUUACAAAAAGUAACCGCUUAUUUUGUCAUCAAAAGGACAAAAACGUGGUAUUUUCAGUGGUUCAUCAAAACCAAGUAUAUAAUCACGGCUUUUUGUGCACUGCUUACAAUUCACUUUCUCUGUUUAACCGAGGAUUCUACUUUAGCUAUAUAGAUUGUCUAACUUUCCUUUCAUUGUUUUCAUCUAGCAAUGACAAUGCAGUUGAAGAAAAGAGACUCGUUCCUACUGAUUUGCUAGCAAAGAAGGCGUUGAGGGCAGCAGUAAGUGCUGCAUGCAAAUCGGGAAAGUGUAAGUCAGAGUUAUGAUAUAUCUUAUCAAAUGCUGUAGGGAUAUUAGUGGUAUAAAAAAGCAUCAGCUGCCGAUCUGUAUUUAAGUACUAUCUUAUCCUGGUAUUGACUCAUUGUAAUAUUUAACUUAACCAUUUUAACAUGGAGAGAUUUCUGCAUGGACGUUUCUUAAACUGAUUUUUGAUUUGUUUUGCCUUUCUAGUGCCUGACCAAAUGAAAGGCGUGUGCAACUGCGCUUCCUUGGUUGUAGGCCGCGAUGAAGGUAAAAACAUUUACUAUGUGUACUCAAAAUUUCACAAUGUGAACAAAGCUUAGUUAUGAUAUAAAUAGCUAUCAAUUCAAUGGUCAGUAUAAUGUGCGAAAAAAGAGCUAUCUCCUAAUUUUCACCUUGUGAUCAAGUUAAGUGUACAUGCAUGUGCACGUGGGAAUUAUGAUGAAUAUCAAUCCCUAGAAAAAUGUGCGAAAACAGUGAGAGCUACCACAAAAUGAAAUGUUAAAAUAUUUACACACUUAUUCAAGAAAUCUUGAGAGUUAAUGAAUUAGGAUAUAUAUAAUUACAAAGUUAUACAUGAAUAUAAACAAAUAUGAUUAAUAAAAUAAAAGAAAGAUAGGGGGAGGAUGGGUAAACAAAGAAAUGAGAGUUGAUGAGAGUUUUCCAGUCAUCUACUCGUCUCUCAUGAAAGUCUCGUUUGAAGUUGUCAAACAUUAACUCACUCUCAGCUCAAUUGCAACGAAUGAUCUAUAGUAUUUUGUGGAGAAACCUAGUGCGCGUGCAGCGAAAAAACCCACUUUUGUUUCUUUAAGUGCAUUCGCUUUGUCUUACCCCCUCCCCCAUUUUUUCCUGUAGAGUUCGAAGCCGAGAAACGCUGGUUCAUUAGUGACCCAGUGGAGAAAUUGAAAAGCGCCGUCAAAAAAAUCUGCGAUGGUCGUAAGUACAGCUGUCAUUUUGCUAUUGCUGAGGCAUCAUAUAUAAAAUCUCCUUUAUUCUUGUUCGUAUAAAGAACCAGUUUGCUUAUAUGUUCAAAUUUAUAUUUUUUGAAGGAUUUGCGAAUGCUUUAAAGGCACCAUGUAACUGUAUCCGCCUUUUUAUUUAAGAGAAGGUAAGGGAAACAUGCUGAUUUUAUAACUGCACGCAAAGACUAGACCAAACUAUAAUCUUUUCCCGAUGCGAAUCAUCAUGGGACCGUUUCUGCUUCUCAUGUUUAGUGUAGGUUCAUUUCACCGUGUUCAUACGGGUCUCCAGGACCCUGCGUCGCUGGGAGGGGUGGUGAUGUUGGGGAUGUGACACCCCCUGAAAACAUCUCGUCGGCAAAACGAAAGGAUUUGUCUGCAAAUUGUUUUCGUAGUCGGCAAAACAUGAAUUGGAUACGAUACGAUUGAAGUGGAAACUGGCUUUAGCCUCUUCGCGACAGCCCUGUAAGGGUGUCUCGAUUAAUCGACAAUAAGGAUGGAGGAGGUACAAUGGGUUGACUAAGGAUUUCGGUAAUCAUUAUGAGCCAGAUGGUUAUUGAUUGAUUAGUUAUGUGCAUCUUAACCAGUUACCGAUUCCAUCCCUAUCGGCGACAAUGGGCAAACUUAUAGUUAAGAAUAAUAACUGUAAUAAUCAUUGUAUAGCCCUAUAUUGUUAUGUGAAUGAAAUCGUAUUCAGCAAUGUUAGUAAAAACAAAAACUAUUUUCUAUAGGACAUGGGUUGAUGAACACAUACGAGUUAAAAGCAAAAGAUGAAAUUAGUUGAUUUAGAACAUGUAAUGUUAGAAAAUGAAUGAAUAAAAGUAUCAUACACUUCAUGCAGAAGGUCUAAUAAUUUGUCCAC